ensembl:lncRNA
AACGCUCUAACCACUCGGCUAUCCUGCCGCCCCACAAUGCACUUGGGCUUUGGUCAAAUGUAGUGCACCAAAUAGGGGAAUAGUAUAAGGGAAUAAGGGAAUAGUGUGAGGUAAUAAGGGAAUAGGGAAUAAGGGAAUAGGGAAUAAGGGAAUAGUGUGAGGGAACAAGGGAAUAAGAAAUAAGGGAAUAGGGAAUAAGGGAAUAGUGUGAGGGAAUAAGGGAAUAAUGUGAGGGAAUAAAGGAAUAUUGUGAGGGAAUAAGGGAAUAGUGUGAGGGAAUAAGGGAAUAGUGUGAGGGAAUAAGGGAAUAGUUUGAGGGAAUAAAGGAAUAUUGUGAGGGAAUAAGGGAAUAGUGUGAGGGAAUAAGGGAAUAGGGAAUAAGGGAAUAGGGAAUAAGGGAAUAGUAUGAGGGAAUAAGGGAAUAGGGAAUAAGGGAAUAGUGUGAGGGAAUAAGGGAAUAGUGUGAGGGAAUAAGGGAAUAGGGAAUAAGGGAAUAGUGGAAUAUGUGAGGGAAUAAGGGAAUAAGGAAUAAGGGAAUAGUGUGAGGGAAUAAGGGAAUAGUGUGAGGGAAUAAGGGAAUAGUGUGAGGGAAUAGGGAAUAAGGAAUAAGGGAAUAGGGAAUAGUAUGAGGGAAUAAGGGAAUAGGGAAUAAGGGAAUAGUGUGAGAGAAUAAGGGAAAAGGGAAUAGGGAAUAAGGGAAUAGUGUGAGGGAAUAAGGGAAUAGUGUGAGGGAAUAAGGAAUAGAGAAUAAGGGAAUAGU